rnacentral:tRNA from 1 species
GAGGGUAUAACUCAGAGGUAGAGUGUUUGCAUAGCAUGCAUAAGAUCCUGGGUUCAAUCCCCCAGUACCUCCA